UACGAAGGGUGCAAACGUUGCUCGGAAUUAUUUGGGCGUAAAGCGCACGUAGGCGGCUUUGUAAGUCGGAUGUGAAAUCCCUCGGCUUAACCAAGGAAGUGCAUCCGAAACUACAGAGCUUGAGUACUUAAGAGGAUCGCGGAAUUCCCGGUGUAGAGGUGAAAUUCGUAGAUAUCGGGAGGAACACCAGUGGCGAAGGCGGCGAUCUGGGAAGAUACUGACGCUGAGGUGCGAAAGCGUGGGGAGCAAACAGG
rnacentral:rRNA from 1 species